UUGUCACGUCAUUACAAACAUUGUGCCGAAAAUAGUUACAAUAAUUCAGUGUAUCCAUUCCAACAACCGUUACCAAAUCAGUCUCAAAAGCCGUUACAAAAAGUUUUACAAAAGUCAAUCCAAAGGACAAGCACAACUAUACCAAAAACUAUUAUAAAAGCCGUUCCAAAUACAAAAAAUUAAUCCGUUACAAAAGUAGUUACAAAUUUAUUUUUUUAAUUUUGGCUAUAUUUGUAAAAGCCAUAAUUGACCAUUAUGGUCGUUAUAAAAGCCGUGAAAAUUUGUAACGGCUUUGGUACUAUCACAAAUAAUUUGUAAUGCUCAUUUGAGCUGCGAUAGGCUGAACCGUUACCAAAGCCGUUCCAAAUUAAAAAAAGUUGUUACAAAUUAAUAAAAAAAUUGUUCCAAAAUCUGUUUAAAUAAAAUGAUUUUUUGUAGUGUGUGUCCGACGCCUGUCGGGCACUGUACAAAAUAAAUAAUUCUUUCCGACCCGUCAGCCCCUCGCCUCCAUCCCUCCCCCUCUUCCAUUUUCUCCUCCGCAAUGGUGUCAUCGUCAACCACUGCCGGCCCCACUAUCUGAAAUCCGAGAAACCCUAACGCCACCCCCCCACCAUCCAUCCUGCACCUUUCUUUCAACCAGGAAAGCACAGCUUUGCUGUCGACACCACCGAUGGCUUCAUGAUAUUCAACACCGAUCCUUUUGUACAAACCAUUCACCAAGACUUUCUCCAAGAAUCACCAAGGUGGUGGCAUUGGUAUCGUGCUGAGGAUCUUCGGCACCAACAAAUUCGCCGUAGUGGGCAAAGGGGCCACUCCAAGACUCAGCCGCAACAAAAUCAUGAUCUGGGAUGAUUCUGUGGGACAGUUCACUGGAUAGCUCUUUUACCGUUCCGAGUGAAGAGCGUUCGCCUAAGGCAGGAACGCAUUGUUGCGGUUAUGAUGCAGAAGAUAUCUGUUCACGAUCUUAUGGACCUGCGUUUGCUGCAUCAGAUAGAAACGGAGCCCAAUCCGAAGGGGUUGUGCGAAAUUUCGCUGUCGGGGCGGAUGGUUCUGGUUUGCUUAGGACGGGAUAAGGGGGAAGUAAGGGUGUUGCAGGACGAGGUGAGUUGGAUUAGGGUGAUAAAGGCCAGCGACUUGGACGUUACGUGUGUUGCUUUGUCGAACAACGGGAGGCUGCUGGCAGCCGCGAGUACUAAGGGCACAUUGAAUAGGUUGUUCGACACAUUGUCCGGAAUGCUGCUUCAGGAGAUGAGAAGGGGUUCUGCAUUUGAAAGAACAGAGAUUCACAGCCUCUUUUUCUGCUUUGAUGCUGAGUGGCUGGCUGUUACAAGCAAUAAAGGAACCGUUGAUAUUCUCAGCUUAAAGGACGCAAAACGAAAUAAUAUGUCUCUUCCGAGUCUUUCCUACAACAAAGCUUUAAGCAAUGUACUGCUCUAGUAUGAAGUAGUUACAAGCAAUGCAGGUAUUCUGCGGAAGUAUUUCAUUCCCGAGUGGCCGACGGCUCGUUUCAUGUACCAAAAGAUAUACAACACAUCGUGACAUUUGGAUACCAAAACAACAUAGUUCUCAUUGUCGGCACGAAUGGAAGAUUCUACAGAUGCAAGUUUGAUCCAAUUGUAGGUGGGGAGAUGAAUGCCACAACUUCCUUCAGCCAGAACUCAUGAGUAUACUUUAGAUAGAUUUUGCAGGAAAUUCAUUGGAUUGUGAAUGUAUUAGUUUGGCAAAAAACUGCAAAUAGUUACAGAUACACACUCUGGAAGUAUAAAAUACAGUUCUUUGUUUUGUGUAUAUACGAGUUUUCAAUGCAAA